rnacentral:rRNA from 1 species
UACAGAGGUCUCAAGCGUUGUUCGGAUUCAUUGGGCGUAAAGGGUGUGUAGGUGGCGCGCUAAGUCGGGGUGUGAAAUUUCGGAGCUUAACUCCGAAACUGCAUUCGAUACUGGCGUGCUUGAGGACUGGAGAGGAGACUGGAAUUCAUGGUGUAGCAGUGAAAUGCGUAGAGAUCAUGAGGAAGACCAGUGGCGAAGGCGGGGUCUCUGGACAGUUCCUGACACUGAGACACGAAGGCCAGGGGGAGCAAAACGGGG